CAUUUUUGACAAGGUCAAACUGCAAGCUGGCCCGGUAGACAGUGGCAUGGACGGCAAAGUAGUAGACACCAGGCACUUGGCAGGUGAACUUGCCAGUAGUGGCGUCAUAAUGUCCCUGCUCAUUCAGCAGCACACGGUCGAAGGGGAGGGGUGUGUCGGCUGGCGGAGGUACCCGGCUCUCUGAUCGCUUGGCACUGAAGGCUGAUCGCGGGGGCACCGAACACUCCCCUGCAGGCCCGAUAGCCCCCGUGGGACCUGCCUCUCCACGCGGUCCGGGCUCCCCACGUGGCCCAGUUCCCAGCUUCUGUACCCUUCAGACAUGUGGGAUUCCCUGGAAGCAGAGGACCCACCUGAGGAGAGGGCCUGUAGGCUCUGAGAUAAUUUCCAAGCGAUCAAAAAGACAGG